rnacentral:misc_RNA from 1 species
GCUAAUCGGCCGGUGAUGCAGAUGAGUGACGUGGUGAACAAGAAGUGCUUCCCUUGCAUUGUUCGGCUUGUUUAUGGUCGGAUCCCAAACACGCCGUGUUCCUUCACCGGAACUCUGCGCUUGGAGCGAGCAGAUUUGGAACAAUCAGUCAUCGCAGCAACUUUGGUUAACACAAGAAAUAUUCUUCUCGAAAUUCCCACUUCCUGCGACUUGCGUUUUAAUGUGGCAGUGUCUAAUGACGAUCUUUUCCAUAUGCCGUCAUAUCACCAAGCUUUAGAACUGUGUAAUGAAAAAGGGUCGAUUUAUAUGCGAAACAUAAAAGUCUGUCACACGAUUGAUAGCGACACACACAAUAAAUGUCCAUUCAAUUUACCGAUGGAACACUCCGAGACCACGGAAGCCGUGAAGCGCCGUAGAGACCUGUCGAUGCAACUCUCUGUUGGAACGGAUGUAUCAGAAGAAAACAGUUUGGGCUCGCAAUCUCGCGCCGAUAGAACCUCUGAUUAUGCAGAGAUGCGAUCCGUCAAAAGUGACUCAUUAACUGAGGACAGCAUGGACGAAGAACUCAAUGGUUUCUCGGUUUUCUCCAAAGAAAUCAACUACAACGAUGAGAUUCCACCCCCGUGUACGUGCACUCCAAAAUUUACAAAUCCAUCAUAUAUGGAGAACUCUGGUGAAUCGCAAUCGGAGAGCACUAAAGAGACAAAUCCGGUCCUUCAAAUUUUCUUGGAUAACAAAUUAUUCUCAGUUGAAAUCGGAACCAAUGAGAGUUCUACCGAUCCAUCCGGGGAGCUAAUAGAGCCAAAACAACCUCAAAACCAAGAACCAGCACCCAAACCCUGCAUCGGAUGUGGCGGUGACCUUGAUAGCGGAAUACAAAUGGAACUUGAUGGACAAGGCGGUAGAAGACCUUCUACGCAUGUAUUUUCUGAGGUUGCUCAUAGUCAUAGUGUUGAAGACGACGUCACCUAUGACGUACCCCGUUUGGCUACCAGACGCGUAAGUGCUCCACCAGGCUGUAGCGCAGCCUCGUCCUUUGCUGAAAAUAACAUUGCAAGUCCAAAAGAGGUCUUUAAUCGGCGUUCGUCUACAAGUCCUCGCCGUCCUCCCCCUCCAUUGCCAACAUCGAACGAAGCUACCGCAGACUUCUCAACAAUUGAAUUCGCAAUUGAGGAGUAUGACUCAGAAGAAGACAAUCCUGAACCGCUUUACCAAAACAUCGCGGGUUCGCAAACUAACUUGGAGGAAAUGUGCAGACACCGGGGAAAUAACUCGAGGCAUACACCAGCAAGCUCUCGAUGUUCCUCUACACGUGAUUCUGGACACCUUUCCGACGAAUGUCUGCCAUGUCCCUCUAGCAGGAACUAUGAUAGGGAUCAGUUGUCGCCCAAUAUUUUCAAGUCAGUACCAAUCGGUGAAAUUCCAAAUCUUCCUCGAAGUCGAAGGAAUUCUAUAAGCCCAAGUAUAGACGAUUACCAAAACUCUCCUAUGAAAGUUCCUGCUCUGCCUGCCUCUAAGGGGAUUCGGGGAAACAACAGAUGUGAUAGCCCUCUUUCAGUCGAUUCAACAAAAGACCGUGGACAAAAUGGUUCUAACGAAGAAAAUAACAAUGACAGCAAGUCUUCGGAUGUCGACUUGGCGAGAGCCGAGAGUCCGCGAAUAAACCCGGAGGACUUUGAUAAAACAUUACAGCUGAAUAUUGCAGAGCAAGAAAAUGUGGUAACAAAAGAAUCUAGAGUUCAAGCAGGAUCUGAAGAAAGUCACGAGGAACUGUGUUUAGAGAAUGGUGAAAAUGGUUCCAGGGAAAGGAAUUACUCGGUAUCAUCAUCACAAAGCAUUGAUGCUUCAGACGAUAAUAUAGACGGAAAUGAGGAAAAACAAGUGUCCAGGCGUUACGGGUCUAAAAUCAGACCAGAGAAAAAGAAAUCAAGACAAUCAAAAGAUGUGUCCAAGAUGUCGGCAGAGGAACUGGCUAUUGAAUUCCGACGCGUUGGCAUAAAACAAACGACAAUUGAAUUGGUUCUUAGCUUGAAUCUUAAUGGGAUAGCCUUGUUAGAGAAAUAUCAUAACCAUGACACCAUUGGGGAUUUCUUACCAAGUGCAGGACUAAUCGAUCAGCAAAAAAUCUCCUUGUUUAUUCAAGGAUGUAAAUAUUGAUACUUAAUACUACAGUACACUUGUACAAUGUACACUCAAUUUUAUUAUUUGUAAUCAGGUAGUAAAUGUAAUAAACAUUCUGUAUAGGCU